CACGUAGGGGGCAAGCGUUGUCCGGAUUUAUUGGGCGUAAAGAGCUCGUAGGUGGUUCGGUAAGUCGGGUGUUAAACCCCCAGGCUCAACCUGGGGACGCCACUCGAUACUGCUGUGACUAGAGUCCGGUAGGGGAGCGUGGAAUUCCUGGUGUAGCGGUGAAAUGCGCAGAUAUCAGGAGGAACACCAAUGGCGAAGGCAGCUCGCUGGGACGGUACUGACGCUGAGGCGCGAAAGCGUGGGGAGCAAACAGG
rnacentral:rRNA from 1 species